UAAUUUGAGAAUUUUCGUACGAUAUGAAUCCUUUUGCAUAAGAAGUGUUUGAUUGUGGUUCCGAGAAGGAGAUAGUUCGAUCAUUUAUGUGUUUAAACUAAUUGGAUUAUAUGUUCUGUUUUUGCAUACCAAGUGCUUGAUUUUAGUUCUGAGUGGGAGAAGUCAUUUAUUGAAUUUUUAAACCAGUUGGGUAUUGUUAUACUACAUUAUGUUUGAUUGUGUUAAAUUACUGUGUGUAAUUGUGUUAAAUUAGUACGUGUAAUUAUUGUGUGACUCUCAAUCUACUUUAACAGCUCUCAACCCAAUAUACGCACUGGGUUUCAAAAUUCAAACAAAUCCACCACAUCUCAAAAUUCAAAAAACAAAGAACAUCUUUCUCCUAAUUGUUCCUAGGAGAAUCUCAAUAUGCAGCAGCUGAAGCGAACGAAAAAGAUAAAGAUUGUGUCGAUGAAUCUGUUCAAGAACCCUUACUUUUUAAUCUUACUUUUUAAUAUUUGUAAAAUUUUUAAUGCUAUCAUGCAGUCAAAGUGUUGAAAGCAGAAUGACAAAGAGACGGGAAGAUUGUGAAGUUUGCAAGGAUGAUAGCACUUCUUCGAGUGACAGAGAGACGGGAAAAUAGGUUGUAUGCAUGGCUGCACAACGGAAGAAGCCGACAAGCUGAAGCAAUUAAGGUGAUUUUGGUAUUAAAGUGAGCCUUAGCCAGCAAUCACCUCAAGUUCUGCAGAUUUAAAUGGAGAUCUACGAGACGAUGGUUCUGCUAUAAAAAGAGCAAGCUAUGGCAAGUGCAAAACUGGUAAGCGGGAAGGUUUCUUACAAUGAGUGCAAGUUAGACAAUCUCAAUUCUCACAAGGUAUCAGCUUACAUAAGCCACUAUGACUUGCAUACUCCUGAUAAUAGUAAAAAAAACAAUUGAAUUUUCUGCCCAUUGUCAAGGUGUCGAAAGUAGAAAAUAUGACAACAAAAUGAAAGUCGGUUCGUUUCUUCACACACCAUUUUCAUCUUCUCAAAUUCACAGGCUGCUGCCGUCUCGAUCAGAGCUAUUACGUGCUGUUCUUGCUGCUGAUGUAGUUGGAUUCCAUACCUAUGACUAUGCAAGGCACUUUGUUAGUGCAUGUGCUAGAAUUCUCGGACCGGAGGGUACACCUGAAGGAGUGGAAGAUCAAGGAAGGCUGACCCGUGUGGUCGCGGUUGGAGAGGAAUGAAGUUUGAAAUGAAAUAAGUAUGUGUAAAACAAUGUAAGUGUAACGUAGGGAUGAUAUAUUUAAGUAGGUGAGAUCAAAGUUGAUGAUGUAGCAGACAAUAUCGGUGAAUGAUGCGGGUGGGAGAGAAGAUCGAAUGCAUCUGUACACUAGAAUAUAGUGAUCUGAAGUUUUAGAAAGGCAUGAACGAAGUUAUGGAUGUUGUACUUGGAUGUUAAGAAAACAGACUUUACUCCCAAUCCUGUGAAUUUCAGAAGAUGGUAACAUAUAGUUUAGAUGUAAAAUAUUUGUCUCCCAUGUAAAUUUCUGUUUCGAUAUGUGUAUAAUACAUGUGUCUGAAUGUUUGGAUUUUGAUGGGUCCAUUGUGUGGUUGUGUUUGUAGAUUGAGGGAGGGAGAGAGAGAGAGUUGCUAUAGGAACAGAAUGAGAGAGGUAUUGUUUGAUCUGAGUAGUUGAAUUUCCAGUAUUGUCAGUCUUGGACAGAGUUGACAUGAGCCAUUGAAGUUGACUCCAUGAUAGAGAUGAUCCCAUGAUCGAACUACUCAAUAAGCAGGUACGGUUGAAACAGGGAUGUUGCAGUGAACAAAAAUUCCCAUUGCAGAGUGUCCAUUUUUCA